AUUGAACGCUGGCGGCAUGCCUUACACAUGCAAGUCGAACGGUAACGGGCCUUCGGGUGCCGACGAGUGGCGAACGGGUGAGUAAUGUAUCGGAACGUACCUUUCAGUGGGGGAUAACGUAGCGAAAGUUACGCUAAUACCGCAUAUUCUGUGAGCAGGAAAGCAGGGGAUCGCAAGACCAUGCGCUGCUUGAGCGGCCGAUAUCAGAUUAGCUAGUUGGUGAGGUAAAGGUUCACCAAGGCGACGAUCUGUAGCGGGUCUGAGAGGAUGAUCCGCCACACUGGAACUGAGACACGGUCCAGACUCCUACGGGAGGCAGCAGUGGGGAAUUUUGGACAAUGGGGGCAACCCUGAUCCAGCCAUGCCGCGUGAGUGAAGAAGGCCUUCGGGUUGUAAAGCUCUUUCGGCCGGGAAGAAAUCGUAUCAGCUAAUACCUGGUGCGGAUGACGGUACCGGCAUAAGAAGCACCGGCUAACUACGUGCCAGCCGCCGCGGUAAGAC
rnacentral:rRNA from 1 species